rnacentral:misc_RNA from 1 species
UUUCCGUAGGUGAACCUGCGGAAGGAUCACUAUCGUACAAAAUGUGAGGGGCAUGCGAGGGCUGUCGCUGACCCAAAAGUCGUGCACGCCCGAGUGUGUCCUCUUGCAUAAUAAUCCAUCUCACCCUUUGUGCACCACCGCGUGGGUCCCCCUUUGGCUUGUUCGGAGGGGGGCUUACGUUUUCACACAAACUUUGUAUGCAGUGUAGAAUGUAUUUUUUGUUUUUGCGAUCACGCAAUCAAUACAACUUUCAACAACGGAUCUCUUGGCUCUC